UACGUAGGGGGCAAGCGUUGUCCGGAAUUAUUGGGCGUAAAGAGCGUGUAGGCGGUCCGGUAAGUCGGUUGUGAAAGUCCAGGGCUCAACCCUGGGAUGCCGAUCGAUACUGUCGGACUAGAGUUCGGAAGAGGCGAGUGGAAUUCCCGGUGUAGCGGUGAAAUGCGCAGAUAUCGGGAGGAACACCAAUGGCGAAGGCAGCUCGCUGGGACGUUACUGACGCUGAGGCGCGAAAGCUAGGGGAGCAAACGGG
rnacentral:rRNA from 1 species